rnacentral:rRNA from 1 species
UACGGGGGGGGUAAGCGUUGUUCGGAAUUACUGGGCGUAAAGGGCUCGUAGGCGGCCAACUAAGUCAGACGUGAAAUCCCUCAGCUUAACUGGGGAACUGCGUCUGAUACUGGAUGGCUUGGAUCCGGGAGAGGGAUGCGGAAUUCCAGGUGUAGCGGUGAAAUGCGUAGAUAUCUGGAGGAACACCGGUGGCGAAGGCGGCAUCCUGGACCGGUAUUGACGCUGAGGAGCGAAAGCAUGGGGAGCGAACAGG